rnacentral:SRP_RNA from 1 species
GCUGGGCACGGUGGCGCAUGCCUGUAAUCCCAGCUACUCGGGAGGCUGAGACAGAAGAAUUGCUUGAACCCAGGAGGCGGAGGUUGCAGUGAGCUAAGAUCACAUCAUUGCACUCCAGCCUGGGUGACAGAGCAAGACUCCGUCUCUA